AAUAUUGCGUAAUGGGCUCAAGCGUGAUCCAGCGAUGCCGCGCGCGCGCUGAAGGCUCUACGGUUGUUAAGCUCUUCCGUCCGGGGCGACAAUGAUGGUACCGGCAACAAAAUGCCCGGCUACCGCCGUACCAACAACCGCGGUAAUACGAAGGGGGCUAGCGUUGCUCGGAAUCACUGGGGGUAAAGGGCGCGUAGGCGGACGUUUAAGUCAGGGGUGAAAUCCCGGGGCUCAACCUCGGUAUUGCCUUUGAUACUGGAUGUCUCGAGACCGGAAGAGGUAACUGGAACUGCGAGUGUAGAGGUGAAAUUCGUAGAUAUUCGCAAGAACACCAGUGGCGAAGGCAGCUUACUGGUCCGGUUCUGGCGCUGAGGCGCGAAAGCGUGGGGAGCAAACAGG
rnacentral:rRNA from 1 species